GACGAACGCUGGCGGCGUGCCUAAUACAUGCAAGUCGAGCGGACCACUUCGGUGGUCAGCGGCGGACGGGUGAGUAACACGUGGGCAACCUGCCUGUAAGACUGGGAUAACACCGGGAAACCGGUGCUAAUACCGGAUAAUCCUUUCCUUCACAUGAAGGGAAGCUGAAAGACGGUUUCGGCUGUCACUUACAGAUGGGCCCGCGGCGCAUUAGCUAGUUGGUGAGGUAACGGCUCACCAAGGCAACGAUGCGUAGCCGACCUGAGAGGGUGAUCGGCCACACUGGGACUGAGACACGGCCCAGACUCCUACGGGAGGCAGCAGUAGGGAAUCUUCCGCAAUGGACGAAAGUCUGACGGAGCAACGCCGCGUGAGUGAUGAAGGCUUUCGGGUCGUAAAACUCUGUUGUUAGGGAAGAACAAGUACGAGAGUAACUGCUCGUACCUUGACGGUACCUAACCAGAAAGCCACGGCUAACUACGUGCCAGCCGCCGCAGUAAAAC
rnacentral:rRNA from 1 species